UUAUUAGCUACAGAAAAGAAUGAUUGAAACAUUUGAAUGGCAAGAUAGCUGACCAUCAGGAUCUGUUGUAUCCUGCUUGAUGUUUUCAGCAUCAGAAAAAUCCCCAGCUGGAUAUUCAAGAACAGAUACAGGGCUUGCCUGCUCAAUCUCCUUGCAGGAAGCUCGGGGGAUAUAAUUUAUCCGUGCAGCAAGUGGACAGUGUACCUGAUGUACAACAGAAGAAGAGGCUCAGAUCUACUGCUACUUGUGGAAUCUUGUGAUGAUAGUCCGUAGAGACGCUGCUGCUUGUCCACAUGAGCAAACCCUGAAGCAAAACAAGAAGAGGUCAACUCCAAAGUAAGCAGUCCUCUUUGUUUUAUGGUAGUUUAUUUUCUUUGAUGCAUAGCAAGAACCAUUCAAAGAUCAGCACGCAAGCGAAGUCACAUCGAUCUAAAAUGGUUGCAUACGCAUGCCACCAAAUAUAAUAGAGUUA